UUCUUUAUUUUAAAUUUUUUUUUACUUAAGUAGUGUAAAUAAUAGUAAUAUAAUGUAUUUGAAACUUAAAAAGCUUGGCGGUGUUAUAUAUCCAUUUAGGGGAGCUUGUUUAUUAAUUUGAUAAUCCUCAAUUAACUCUUACUUUUUCUUGAAUAUGUUUAUAUACAGUUUGUAUAUUGCUGUCAUCAGUUUAUUUCGUAAGAUUGUUAAAGGACUUGAAAGUAAAAAUUACUAAAAUGUCAAGUCAAAAUGCAGCUAAUGAAGAAGGUUUAGAUGAAAAUGAGCUACAAUUUAUAAUUUUUAAUUGGAUUGAGUUAUGCAAUAGUUUAUGAAUUUGGACUUAAUAGUAAUAUAAAUAAGUAGUAUGUUUAUAUGAAUUUUUUGGUUUUAUAGCGCG
rnacentral:rRNA from 1 species